rnacentral:rRNA from 1 species
GAUGAACGCUAGCGGCAGGCCUAAUACAUGCAAGUCGAACGGUGUCUUCGGACAUAGUGGCGCACGGGUGCGUAACACGUAUGCAACCUACCUUACAUUGGGGGAUAGCCUUUCGAAAGGGAGAUUAAUACCGCAUAAGACAGUAGCUGGGCAUCCAGCAGCUGUUAAAGAUUUAUCGAUGUAAGCUGGGCAUGCGUCCAAUUAGCUAGUUGGUGAGGUAACGGCUCACCAAGGCAAUGAUUGGUAGGGGAACUGAGAGGUCGAUCCCCCACACAGGCACUGAGAUACGGGCCAAACUCCUACGGGAGGCAGCAGUAGGGAAUAUUGGGCAAUGGACGCAAGUCUGACCCAGCCAUGCCGCGUGCAGGAUGAAGGCGUUAUGCGUUGUAAACUGCUUUUAUACAGGAAGAAACGACUCUUGCGAGAGGCAUUGACGGUACUGUAUGAAUAAGCACCGGCUAACUCCGUGCCAGCCGCCGCCGUAAGAC